AGUUCUUCUGGUAGAGACACAAACAUCUCAUUUGGACUCCACAGAACUUUCAUCCACUCAUUCACUGUCCAAUUCCUGUGUGAUUUUGUAAUUGGACUGAGGAAGUUGCAUAGAAAACCUGGGUUAGGGUUUAGCUAAAAAGAAAAACAAAAGAUUAUGUGUCUGUUCCAAAUUAUUCACAGGGACUGUCUGUGGUGCUUGUUUAUCCUUUAGUGGAGCUGUGAUUCAGACAGAACAAGAGAGAGAGAGAGAGAGAGAGAGAGAGAGAGAGAGACAGAAAUAGAGAAAGAGAGAGAGCGCUGAUCCAGCAGGAGGAAAAUGUUUAGUGAUGCAGGAAUGAGUGCUGACCGGACGAUCUCCCUCUGCUCAUGAGAGAGAGCUGCACAAGAUCAACCCGUGGAUCUGCUCCAAAAAGCUUCAAGUCAGAAAAAUCUGACAAAGAAAAUCUCUUACACUCCAAUUCCUUUAUUAUCUAAAGCAAAAUAAAACUUCGCGCAUGCGCACUACAAUGGAACGCAGAACACUACUGAUCCGAGCUGUUUGCACUUUCUGAUCACAACUUUUAAUAAAUAAACAUAUUAUUUAUAUAUUAAUAAAGAGAAUGUUAAUAAAUAAUAACACAUCUGAUCUUACCGAAAUAAAAGGAAAGCCUCGGUUCAGAUGAAUUUGACUCAUGUCCUCUCUCCGCACACCCAACACAGCCCGUUAUCCUUUUCUCUCUCUCUCUCUCUCUCUCUCUCUCUCUCUCUCCCUCCCUCCUUUCUUCCUCUCUCUCUUUCUCUCUCUCCACUUCCCCAUCCCCCUUUCCAUUCCUCCUCCUGCUGGCCCAUCUCCGACUUACCAACUCUAUUUCGACUCAUUCAACCGAUUCAUUUGAGUCGACUCUUUUAAAACGACUCUUAUGACUUAUUCGGUGAUCAUUUUAUUCGCUUGACAAAAAGAAAUUGUCGAUGGUCCAGAAACACAGACGAGUCCAACAUGGCAGAGUGAUGAGUGACUGUGUUAUUAGUGAAUCUAUCAACAACAUGCUGAUAAAAAUGACUCAAAUAUUAUAAAAUAAAAAUAAUAACAAUUUUACCAACCA